UAAUGUGCUAGUUCGAUAGAGGGUAUCGGUUAUCGGGCGAAAUUAAGAUACUGGCUUUUUGGCAAGCGUGUCUGUUCGCGUGUUAAAAAGCAAGAUUAAACAAUAGACUAAACAUGUAGUGGCUCUUAUUGAUCGUUUUUCGGACAGGGGUUCAACUCCCCUCACCUCCACCA
rnacentral:tmRNA from 1 species